GUCUGCACUGUCUCCAGCUCACCAUCCUCAUGUCAGUUACAUGAGACGGAAAUUAGACUGGAAUUUUGACAACCGCUUACAAGUAUAUGUGCACAACAGUAGGAUAUUGCCCAAGUAAGAAGAUGGAUAAAGCUUUUAAUCUUUCCAAAUUUGAAUCAAGUAAUGAAGCUGCCUUCAAAGCAAAGAAGUGGACUCCAGGAAAAGCACUGAUAGAGACAGCUCAAAAUGAUUGCUACACACUGGAGGAUCUGUCUACAUCCCAGAUGCGUCCCUCUGUGACAAGUCCUGAACCUGGCCAUAGAUGACUGCUUAAGGUUGAUAUUUAAGCCAAAAUGGGCCAAUUUCAUUACUUCUUACAUAUUAAA